UAGCUCAGCUGGGAGAGCGCUUGCAUGGCAUGCAAGAGGUCAGCGGUUCGAUCCCGCU
rnacentral:tRNA from 4 species